rnacentral:rRNA from 1 species
GUCAAAACGACUCUCGGCAACGGAUAUCUCGGCUCUCGCAUCGAUGAAGAAUGUAGCGAAAUGCGAUACUUGGUGUGAAUUGCAGAAUCCCGUGAACCAUCGAGUCUUUGAAUGAAAGUUGCGCCUGAAGCCUUUAGGCCGAGGGCACGUCUGCCUGGGUGUCA